AGGCAAUCCCCACAGGCACAUAUAACAACCUACUCACAAAUAAGGGCAUGAUCAAGUUCUCAACACCACAGACUAUUGCCCCAGUUCCCCGCAAAAAGUAACGACGUUUCUCCUACCCCCGAAGGCAAUGAAGACAAGGUGACGACUCUCUCCGCUGGCUCAAGUGGCUUCGGUCCCGGGCCAGAGGCCAGGGAUGGGUAGGGAGGAAGCCGCAGGUCCCGGCUACUCCCCACCUCGCUGCUCCCUUGGGUCUCUCCUUGGUGGCAGUGGACAGGCAGGCAGGAUACCGGGCCGGAGGGUGGAGCAGCGGAUAGUGGGAGGCGAGAUCGGCUGGAGGUGGUGGUGGUGGGGGAAGGCGAUGAGAACUAAGAGAAGAGAGGAAAGAGAACGGAGAUGGAGGAGUAACUCAGGGGUCUACCAGCGAACGCAGCCCGAAAGCUCCUCGGAAGGAAGGGGCGUGACUGCGAUGAAGGCAGCUCCUGAGCGAAGGAUGGGAGCUAUUGGAGCCUGUAAGUGUUCACCUUGGAUGGACUUGUUGGACUGGCCGACAAGUUGAAGUUUGAAUCAGGCAACGUGUGAGACAUUUAUGACUUAGCCUGUGGCAAACAACAGGUUUUCAGACACAGGAAGUUUGAAGCCUGAUCCAUGUGUGGAAAACAGCAAUGUGGGAAUGCAGGAAACAACACCAGAACUCUGCACCAGGGCCAAGACCUGCUCAGCAUUGGAGAGCCAAGUUACUCCUGGGGUACUUGUGAGCCUCAAGAUUUUGGAAGUAAAUCAAAUGUAGGGAAAUAAAACUGCCUGUAAGUCUAUUCCCCAAAUAC
rnacentral:lncRNA from 1 species